rnacentral:lncRNA from 1 species
AAAGAAGGUGAUGCCGAAGCUGAGGUCGGAAAUUACGAAGAUCAGCUAUCAAACUUGGAAAUCAUGUCUUAGAGAUCAAGGAGCCAAGAGAUGAGACAAGCCUGGGUUCCUAGGUGAUAGGGUGUGGCUGUGUCCCCACCCAAAUCUCGUCUUGAAUUGUAGCUCCCAUAAUCCCCACAUGUUGUGGAGGGACCCUGUGGAAGGAAGGCCUGAGGAGAGAAGACACAUAGUCAUGCUGACUAAACCAGAUCACCUAGAAUUACCAAAUGGAAAGCAUCUACUUGUUUCCAAAGUUAUUUGGGUCAGCAUUUUCCUCCACCCACCACUUAAAACUGAUUUGUUUCAUACAUUUGAAAUGUAUGAAAAGCCAGAAAUCCAGGACCCACCCUGGCCUGCUCCCUUUUUCUCACCUACUGUGUUAAGGAUAAGUCAAUUGAGCUUCACUUCUCUAAUUGAAAUCACCGUGCUGAUGGAGUCUGUCUGUGGAAAUGAAAGGUGGCUACCAUAAUCUGUUGGGAGUUGAAUUAAUCCUCUGGGAGUGAGGCUGACCUAAUUACUCAGAAAUACUGGGCUUGCUUUCAUUCUGUGGAAUACAGCCAUGAGAAAGAGGCCAGCAUGCCAUUUCCUAAUCUUUUCUUGAAUUGCCUGAAACUCACCUAACAUGAAACUGAGAAGCCUUUUCAUUUGAAAGUGGUAUUUCUUAUGUUUUUUAUCUUUUUGCUUGAAAGUAUUCUUAAACUAAAGAAAGGAGAAACAGAAAAGGUGAAGAAGCCAAGAGGCUGGAGUUUCCUUUUGAAUGGAUAUUCAUCCAUGAAGCUGUUGAUUCUGUUUUUCUGUUCCUCCAGAUGUCUACACUUUUACCUCUGCUUGCCUGAUACAACCACCACCAGUCACCUCACAGAAUAACUCACUCCUUAAGAAUCUGAUCAGGAAUCAGCCUUCCCUGAUCACAAACACUGAGUUUAGAAGUCCCUCCACAGUGUCCCCCGUAACCCUGUGCUACCUCACUGCCUCAUAGUUUAGUGCCGUUUGUGUACAUGCCUAUCUUCGUCCAUGGAUCCAGAACAACUUGUAAAAAUGACUGUACUUAUCACCUUCAGUAUUCAAUGACUAAACUAUAAUUUUAACAUAUCUGGCAGAAUGAAUCACUUGGGGAUUUCUGCCAACACUACCAAUAUAUUACUCCUAAUUUGUAAUUAUUACUUAGCAUGGAUUAUAGUACCGGCUGUUGGAGAGCCAAUGUGGCAGACCCUAAGUGGAAUAAAAUGUCAGUAGCAGUCUAGGAGCAUAUAUUUAUUGGAAUAGAUCAUUCAUUCAUUUGUUCAUUAACUAAUUUGUUCAUUAAAUAAACAUUUAUUAAGCA